rnacentral:rRNA from 1 species
GGUGGGUUUGUAAGUCAGACGUGAAAGCCUUCUGUUCAACGGAAGAAUUGCAUCUGAAACUGCAAACCUUGAGUAUAGGAGGGGAGAAUGGAACUUCUGGUGGAGCGGUGAAAUGCGUAGAUAUCAGAAGGAACGCCGGCGGCGAAAGCGAUUCUCUGGCCUAUUACUGACACUCAGUGUGCGAAAGCUAGGGGAGCAAACGGGAUUAGAUACCCCGGUAGUCCUAGCCGUAAACGAUGGGCACUAAGUAGAGGGGUUU